GACGAACGUUGGCGGCGUGCUUAAUACAUGCAAGUCCACUGAAGCAGUGGUAGCAAUAUCGCUGUGGAGGUGGCGCACGGGUGAGUAACACGUAGGUAAUCUGCCUUCAGGUCUGGCAUAACUCCGGGAAACCGGGGCUAAUAGCAGAUGAUGCAGCGGCUCGACAUCGAGACAGUUGUUAAAGCUAUGGCGCCUGAAGAUGAGCCUGCGUCUGAUUAGCUAGUUGGCGGGGUAACGGCCCACCAAGGCAACGAUCAGUAGCUGGUCUGAGAGGAUGAUCAGCCACACUGGAACUGAGACACGGUCCAGACUCCUACGGGAGGCAGCAGUAAGGAAUAUUGCUCAAUGGGAGAAAUCCUGAAGCAGCAACGCCGCGUGAGGGACGAAGGGCUUUUGCUUGUAAACCUCUGUAGUGAGAGAAAAAAAUCCCAAUCUUUGGGACAUGAUGGUAUCUCAAAAGUAAGCCCCGGCUAACUACGUG
rnacentral:rRNA from 1 species